UACGGAGGGUGCAAGCGUUAUCCGGAUUUACUGGGUUUAAAGGGUGCGUAGGCGGGCCUUUAAGUCAGUGGUGGAAGCUCCGAGCUUAACUCGGAAACUGCCAUUGAUACUAUUGGUCUUGAAUUCGGUCGAGGUUGGCGGAAUGUGUCGUGUAGCGGUGAAAUGCUUAGAUAUGACACAGAACACCGAUUGCGAAGGCAGCUAGCUAGACCGACAUUGACGCUGAGGCACGAAAGCCAGGGGAGCAAACGGG
rnacentral:rRNA from 1 species